rnacentral:rRNA from 1 species
GUGAAACGUGGUCGGAAUCCGGGAGGACCAUCUCCCAAGGCUAAAUACUCCCUAGUGACCGAUAGUGAACCAGUACCGUGAGGGAAAGGUGAAAAGCACCGCGGAAGCGGAGUGAAAUAGUUCCUGAAACCAUGUGCCUACAAUUAGUUAGAGCCCGUUAAUGGGUGAUAGCGUGCCUUUUGUAGAAUGAACCGGCGAGUUACGUUAAUUUGCAAGGUUAAGGUGGAAAGACCGGAGCCGUAGCGAAAGCGAGUCUGAAACGGGCGUUUCAGUAAAUUGACGUAGACCCGAAACCAGGUGACCUAUCCAUGUCCAGGUUGAAGGUGCGGUAAAGCGCACUGGAGGACCGAACCCGUGUAUGUUGAAAAAUGCUGGGAUGAGGUGUGGAUAGCGGUGAAAUUCCAAACGAACUUGGAGAUAGCUGGUUCUCUCCGAAAUAGCUUUAGGGUUAGCCUCGGAGUAAAGAAUCGUGGAGGUAGAGCCACUGUUUGGACUAGGGGCCCGUCAUGGGUUACUGAAUUCAGAUAAACUCCGAAUGCCACAGAUUUAUAUCCGGGAGUCAGACGAUGAGUGAUAAGAUCCACCGUCGAAAGGGGAACAGCCCAGACCACCAAUUAAGGUCCCUAAAUACAUGCUGAGUGGAAAAGGAUGUGGAGUUGCAUAGACAGCUAGGAUGUUGGCUCAGAAGCAGCCACCAUUUAAAGAGUGCGUAAUAGCUCACUAGCCGAGUGAUCCUGCGCCGAAAAUAUACCGGGGCUAAGCAUGUUACCGAAAUUGUGGAUGCGACCAAUAGGUCGCGUGAUAGGAGAGCGUUCUAAG